rnacentral:rRNA from 1 species
GACGAACGCUGGCGGCGUGCUUAACACAUGCAAGUCGAACGGAAAGGCCCUGCUUUUGUGGGGUGCUGGAGUGGCGAACGGGUGAGUAACACGUGAGUAACCUGCCCUUGACUUUGGGAUAACUUCAGGAAACUGGGGCUAAUACCGGAUAGGAGCUCCUGCUGCAUGGUGGGGGUUGGAAAGUUUCGGCGGGUGGGGAUGGACUCGCGGCUUAUCAGCUUGUUGGUGGGGUAGUGGCUUACCAAGGCUUUGACGGGUAGCCGGCCUGAGAGGGUGACCGGCCACAUUGGGACUGAGAUACGGCCCAGACUCCUACGGGAGGCAGCAGUGGGGAAUAUUGCACAAUGGGCGGAAGCCUGAUGCAGCAACGCCGCGUGCGGGAUGACGGCCUUCGGGUUGUAAACCGCUUUCGCCCGUGACGAAGCGUGAGUGACGGUAAUGGGUAAAGAAGCACCGGCUAACUACGUG